rnacentral:rRNA from 1 species
GACGAACGCUGGCGGCGUGCUUAACACAUGCAAGUCGAACGGAAAGGCCCUGCUUUUGUGGGGUGCUCGAGUGGCGAACGGGUGAGUAACACGUGAGUAACCUGCCCUUGACUUUGGGAUAACUUCAGGAAACUGGGGCUAAUACCGGAUAGGAGCUCCUGCUGCAUGGUGGGGGUUGGAAAGUUUCGGCGGUUGGGGAUGGACUCGCGGCUUAUCUGCUUGUUGGUGGGGUAGUGGCUUACCAAGGCUUUGACGGGUAGCCGGCCUGAGGGGGUGCCCGGGCCCAGGGGGCCACAACUACGGCCGGCACCCCUGCGGAGGCGGGGAGGGGGGAAGGUGGCCUGAGGGAGCGAAGCCGGGUGCAGGAGCCCCGCGUGCGGGGUGGGGACCUGCGGUUUGUAGGCCAUUACCCCCGGUGCGAGAGCGGGAUUGCGUGUACGGGAAAAAAAAGAACCGGCUAAUUCCGUG